AGCCCUGGGGUGUCACACGUAAGAUUGCAAAUCUUAAGAAGCAGGCUAAUACCUGCCGGGGCUU
rnacentral:tRNA from 1 species